rnacentral:lncRNA from 1 species
GGGCUCCCUGGCCUGGGAGAGUUUGAGCAGAAGUGUAAGUUUGGGUCUACAGAGCUCUCGAUGUCCUGACCCUUCACUCCUGUAGGAUUUGGGCUAGCCCCUUCUGAAGGAACAGGGACCCCUUUAGUGGGCACAGGCUGUGGUCAUAUUUCUUUUCUCUUUUUCUUUUCUAAUGUUUUUGAGGUAGCCUAGGCUGACCUCUGAGGAUAGCCCAAGUGCUGACACUUCAGGUGUGUGACACCAUGCCUGGCUACCGUCACAUUUUGUCACAUGCCUUUUGCCUGUACUUACUGACUGGAGAGCUGUUUAUUCAUGCUUUGCCCAUGUCAAAACUGGAUAACUGAUUCUUCUCUUUCACCUACAAGUUAGACCAGGAUGGGCAUUUUCAUGAGCCUAUUGCCUAGGGAGGUUUGUAAAUGAUAGACACAGGCAAGGCGGGGCCAGAGGAGGCUGAGGUGAAAAUCCAAGGAAAAAUCCAAGAGUCAGUCAGAUGGCAAAGAACUGAAGAAAUACUGGACCAUUGGAGGGUUCCCAGUGGGAAAGUGCGAACUUCAGGACGGGCCGUGUGGAGACUUCUGGGGCUGAGACGUGACUAACACAUUUCCAUGCUGAAGGAUGUGGUGGACUGGCAAGGGACUAGAAUAAGAGAUGACUUUGUUUUAGAUCUUAUGUAAUCUCCAAAGGGUCCCAGGAAGGAUGGGACCUCUGCUUGGAUCUGUGCUGAGUCUGAGGAUCACUGCAGGUCAGGGGAGGAGAACUCCUCGCUGGGUGUGAAGCGGAGAAAAUCAAGAACCGGUUGUAACUUGUUCCUCAGCAGCCCCAACUCUGAUAAGGGCCAACCAGGAGCUGACACAUCCGGGGUGGAGAUGCUCCCCAGGAAGGAGGGACGCCUGUGGUGACAAAGUCUGUUUAAGAGGAACAGGGGCCUCGUGGGUCAGUUGCAUAACCUGGAGCUUCAAGCUCUGCCUCACUUGGCGCAGAGCCUCGGUUUACAGACACUGUUCUUCCACGUGAUUUGAAUGGAAGCAGGAGAGAGCAUGUCCCUGGUGCCUGGGCUUCGGGUGCCCUCUUGUGGCGGAAUAUUGGUUUUGAGUUUUCAGUUUCUCCUUCCCUCUCUGGAAUCUUACCGUCUUCAAGGUCAUUGUUGUUAAAAUGGAAAGGCAAAGGGCUUGGGGGUGUAACUCAAUGGAAAAGAAUGUGAGUCUCUGGGUUCAGUCCUCUGAACCAGGUCUCUCAGGGCUUAGCUUUGUCUGCAGGGUGGUCAAAGUCUGAGGGUGACAUCCCUAACAUGGAGGAGAGGCCACCGAUGGGGGCAGAGCCCUUGGUCUAAAAGACACCUGUCUGUAAUGCGCUCAGAAGAACUGACCAGGGCCCUACUCGAUCUUCCUUCCGGUCUCUUCUAGCCUAGACUCUAGGCCCGUGGUUCUUAGGGUGGGUUUUUGUUGGGGGAAGGCAGAGGUCAGGGGUCCUUUUGAGCAGCUUAAGACUGAUGUUGGGGUUUUGUUUAGAAAAUUACACAACGGAACACUGCCGCUUAGGGUUUGGGGAAGCUAGUGGUCUCUGGGGACCAGAACCCAUAUGUUUUUUGGUUUCGUUUUUGUUUGUUUUGUUUUUCAAGUCAGGGUUCCUGAUUGUCCUGGAACUCACUCUGUAGACCAGAGUCUGGUCUAGAACUCAGUGAUCCGCCUGCCUCUGCCUCCUGAGUGCUGGAUUAAAGGCAUGAGACACUACCACCCGACUAUAAACUCACAGUUUGACAUCUCCCGUUCUAGGUCUCUGCUCCUGUCAGUUUCUCAGUGUCUGAUGCUCUCUGAGGCAGAUCAGACAUGUUUCGCACUGGUUCCCUAGAGAGGGAGGAAGGACAGGUGUGUGUGUGUGUGUGUGUGUGUGUGUGUCUUUGUGUGUGUGUGUGUGUGUCUUCUUAUGAGAUAAGCAGUAUCCCACAGAGAUGUGUAAAGAGGGCCCUGUAUUGAGAAAGUGAGGUCCCUUUUAUGAAAAUACCCGAGAAAGACAGAGACAAGUGCUUUAUAAUCUUAAGGUCGAGAAUGUCUCCACGGUGCCGGGUCUGAGGGAUCUGACUGAGAUGAAAGUCCCCCCCCCACCCACCCCGCAACACAGAGCCUCUUAAACUCCAUUUUAGAUAGCUCUCAGAUGGCUUGAAAUGCCUGUGACAGUUUACAGAGGCAAAGCGAAGCAUUUCACAUAUUCUCACCAGCCAGGUUGACUUGCUUCUAGCAGAAAACGUAAGCAACAGAUUGAUCUCUGUCCCUUUAACACACCUUGAAAGGGGUUUCCUGGGAUGGAGAGUUGGCUCAGUGAUUAAGAGCACUGGCUGCUCUUUCCAGAGGACUGGGGUUCAAUUCCCAGUAACCACGUGGCAGCCCACCACUGUCUGUAACUCCAGGCAUUUUCACCCCCCUUCCCCACUCCCCCGUUCCAGGCAAUCUGAUACCCACACACAGACAGACAUGCAGACAAGAUACCAAUACACAUAACACAAACAUUUAAAAAAAAUGACUAAAGGGAUUUCCUUUUGGUCAAGUACUGUACUAUUCAAGAACUCAAUAAAUGCUUACAUAAUAAAUAUCAAAAGGGAGAUUUUUAGAGUUGGAGGCCCCUACUCUGUUACCUCUGUUUUAAGGAAAGCAACAUAAGAGCCAGAGAGCUAAAUAGCAUUCAUUGAUUCAUUGAUUCAUUGAUUCAUUCAUUCACUCACUCAGGUUUAGUCAUCGGUUCCUGUGUGUGAGGGGUUGGUGUUUGUAUGUGGAAGCUGAGGAGGACUCGGACUGGAACUUUCUGUCUCUGCCUCUGAGCUCUGGGAUCACAGCUGUCAACCACCACACUCGGUUUACCUCGUGAGCUCUAGAGAAGCACCCUGCCAACUAUGGUGCAUGCUACCCCUUGAAAUUCUCUUUCCUGUUCUAUUAAGUGACAGGUAGCUAGGAUGGACGGAUAUGCUAAAUUUAUCCCUUUCUAGUAAAACAUGAUGUUUUAUGGAAAAGUACAAAAAUACAAGUAUUAAUGAA